GACGAACGCUGGCGGCGUGCUUAACACAUGCAAGUCGAACGGAAAGGCCCUGCUCUUGUGGGGUGCUCGAGUGGCGAACGGGUGAGUAACACGUGAGUAACCUGCCCUUGACUUUGGGAUAACUUCAGGAAACUGGGGCUAAUACCGGAUAGGAGCUCCUGCUGCAUGGUGUGGGUUGGAAAGUUUCGGCGGUUGUGGAUGGACUCGCGGCUUAGCAGCUUGUUGGUGGGGUAGUGGCUUACCAAGGCUUUGACGGGUAGCCUGCCUGAGAGGGUGACCGGCCACAUUGGGACUGAGAUACGGACCAGACUCGUACGGGAGGCAGCAGUGGGGAAUAUUGCACAAUGGGCGGAAGCCUGAUGCAGCAACGCCGCGUGCGGGAUGCCGGCCUUCGGGUUGUAAACAGCUUUCGACUGUGACGAAGAGUGAGUGACGGUAAUGGGUAAAGAAGCACCGGCUAACUACGUG
rnacentral:rRNA from 1 species